rnacentral:rRNA from 1 species
CAGCAGUGGGGAAUCUUCCGCAAUGGACGAAAGUCUGACGGAGCAACGCCGCGUGAGUGAAGACGGCCUUCGGGUUGUAAAGCUCUGUGAUUCGGGACGAAAGGUUAUAUGUGAAUAAUAUAUGGAAAUGACGGUACCGAAAAAGCAAGCCACGGCUAACUACGUGCCAGCAGCCGCGGUAAUACGUAGGUGGCAAGCGUUGUCCGGAAUUAUUGGGCGUAAAGCGCGCGCAGGCGGUCACUUAAGUCCAUCUUAGAAGUGCGGGGCUUAACCCCGUGAUGGGAUGGAAACUGGGAGACUGGAGUAUCGGAGAGGAAAGUGGAAUUCCUAGUGUAGCGGUGAAAUGCGUAGAUAUUAGGAAGAACACCGGUGGCGAAGGCGACUUUCUGGACGAAAACUGACGCUGAGGCGCGAAAGCGUGGGGAGCAAACAGGAUUAGA